rnacentral:lncRNA from 1 species
AGUACACACUCGGCAGUACACACUCGGCUGGGUUCCCGCUCUGCGAGGGAAGGUCACAAUAGCUGCUCUAUCUGCAGAGGCGCCUGCCUCCUCCCUCCCUGGGUCUCAGAGAAGCAGAGAAAGAAGGGGGAGGGGCGCCGGCCGCCGACGGCGCCCAGGGCCGGGGGCCUCUCUUCUUGGGGAAGAGUUGCAGCGGUACUUGCAAGAGGAAGUUGGGUGGGGUAAGAAAUCUCCACCCUAGCUCCUGCCUCUCAAGUGUUCCGGGGGGCAAAGGGAAGGCACCAAGGCCUCGAAGUUGCUCGAGGCCUCCCUGCUCCACGCUUCCUUGAGGGUGCCCAGAGCAGCCAGAAGCCGGGAACACGCACGCCAUUGUGUGCGCUGCUUCCCCAUGGGUUCUACAGCAGAGAAGGCCGUAUGUAGGCAGCACAGGCUGGUGGCCGGAGGUGGGAAGAAGCUGGCCCCUCUUGCUCACUGGGGCUUUGGUCUCUGGGAUCUACCGUGGUUGCCUAAGAGAGGAAAUGGCUCUUAAGCUCGUGCCUUUGGCCAGUUCUCCCUUACCCUAUGGCAACUGCGUUUUUGGGGUGUGUGUGUGUGUGUGUGUGUUGGUGCUGGUGGGGUGUCAAGGUGGUUAGGGGGUCUCUUGAGAUCUGAAGAAAGGGGUCAGGGCUGUGAGCCUAGGCCCAUGGGUGAGGGGUGGCUGUCCACCUGGCAUCCUGGGUGGUUCUGUCCAAGCAAUCAAAUGUGAAUUAAGGCAGGGUGGAAUAGCCUGCUGCACAGCAGGGGUUGGAGUGAGAAAUAAUUUAAGCCGAAGGAGAGAGUUCCUUGCAACCAGGAAAAACUCAGGAUCCAGUCUGCAGUAGAGGGCCUAGAAUGGAGCUAACCAGGAAAUUGCAGAAGCUGCUGAGGAACAGGCCUUGAAGAGUAGUCCUGGCACUGGUAAGGAGGACUUGUGACAAAACAUGAGGGUUUUUUGUUUGGAGAUUGAACUCAGAACCAGGUUCAUACUAAGAUACACAAGGUACAUACCAAGCAUAUGGCAAAAUACUUUUGGGGAGG